UACGUAGGGGGCAAGCGUUAUCCGGAUUUACUGGGUGUAAAGGGGGCGCAGACGGCGGCGCAAGCCAGGAGUGAAAGCCCGGGGCCCAACCCCGGGACUGCUCUUGGAACUGCGCGGCUGGAGUGCAGGAGGGGCAGGCGGAAUUCCUGGUGUAGCGGUGAAAUGCGUAGAUAUCAGGAGGAACACCGGUGGCGAAGGCGGCCUGCUGGACUGCGACUGACGUUGAGGCCCGAAAGCGUGGGGAGCAAACAGG
rnacentral:rRNA from 1 species